UCCCUCAUAGCUCAGUAGGUAAAGAAUCUGCCUGCAAUGCAGGAGAAUCGGGUUUGAUUCCUGGGUAGGGAA
rnacentral:tRNA from 1 species